CUGCUUUCCUGAGAAAAGGUGUUCACUCUUCUCUUUGGGCCGAUGGACACCAGCCCACGUUGAGGCCUCAGAAAAUAAUUUUGGUUCCCAGCAAGAAAGAGGUGGUCCAACUGCAACAGCUCUCCCAGCGGCUGGGGGACAGGGGGCUCCCCAGUGAGGCCUGCUAAAGGCACCUUUGAAGACAGGUUCCCCGCCCCCCACCCCCGGCAUUUCCAGGAACAUCUUCAAUCAGUUUGAACAUCUGCACGGCUCGAGGAUGGUCGUGGCAGGGUCCAGGGGCAGCCUGUUGGAGGUGAGGGAUGGAGGGGGGGCAGUGGGGCGGAGAGUCUAGAACAAGCCCAGAGGCCCGACCUCCAAAGUUCCCUGUUCCAAGAUGCCCCUGGUCUGCCCAGGCCUGCUCCUGCCUGCUUCUACCACCUGUUUUUAGUACCAGGCUUUUUGAUUCGUUUCAGUUCCCGAAGAGCAGGGGGCAGCUGAGCAGGGAGCAGGGCAGGCAACAGUGGAAAGACCAGGGUGUUGUUUUUGUAGACAGGAGGCCUGGUUUUCGUCGGGCGUGAGGAGAUACCCAGGUGGUUUUUCUGCAGCCCCUCGUGCAGGCCUGGCCUGCUGGAAUGGAUUUCAAUUCUCCUUUGCCAAACUACACUUUCAAGAGGUGUCGGAUAUCGAAAACCUCUCCCCCGAGCCAAAGCAAGCAUUUGGGGGAGGAGAGGUCCAGAGGGGCGAGGGACGGUCGGAGAAGAUGCUGGUUAAAAAAAGAAGGCAGGAGCAGUAAGAAAAGUUCUUUCACGUGGCGUUCCAAUUUGGCUGUUGCUUUUUCAAAUAAUUGGUUAAAAACCGUGCAUCAAGCCAGGGUCACCCUAUGUUUUUGCUGAAGAUCAACUCCUGACAACUCCAAA
rnacentral:lncRNA from 12 species